AUUGAACGCUGGCGGCAGGCCUAACACAUGCAAGUCGAACGGUAACAGGAAGAAGCUUGCUUCUUUGCUGACGAGUGGCGGACGGGUGAGUAAUGUCUGGGAAACUGCCUGAUGGAGGGGGAUAACUACUGGAAACGGUAGCUAAUACCGCAUAACGUCGCAAGACCAAAGAGGGGGACCUUCGGGCCUCUUGCCAUCGGAUGUGCCCAGAUGGGAUUAGCUAGUAGGUGGGGUAACGGCUCACCUAGGCGACGAUCCCUAGCUGGUCUGAGAGGAUGACCAGCCACACUGGAACUGAGACACGGUCCAGACUCCUACGGGAGGCAGCAGUGGGGAAUAUUGCACAAAGGGCGCAAGCCUGAUGCAGCCAUGCCGCGUGUAUGAAGAAGGCCUUCGGGUUGUAAAGUACUUUCAGCAGGGAGGAAGGGAGUAAAGUUAAUACCUUUGCUCAUUGACGUUACCCGCAGAAGAAGCACCGGCUAACUCCGUG
rnacentral:rRNA from 1 species